rnacentral:rRNA from 1 species
UGGGGAAUAUUGGACAAUGGGGGCAACCCUGAUCCAGCAAUGCCGCGUGUGUGAAGAAGGUCUUCGGAUUGUAAAGCACUUUCGACGGGGACGAUGAUGACGGUACCCGUAGAAGAAGCCCCGGCUAACUUCGUGCCAGCAGCCGCGGUAAUACGAAGGGGGCUAGCGUUGCUCGGAAUGACUGGGCGUAAAGGGCGUGUAGGCGGUUUACACAGUCAGAUGUGAAAUCCCCGGGCUUAACCUGGGAGCUGCAUUUGAUACGUGUAGACUAGAGUGUGAGAGAGGGUUGUGGAAUUCCCAGUGUAGAGGUGAAAUUCGUAGACAUUGGGAAGAACACCGGUGGCGAAGGCGGCAACCUGGCUCAUGACUGACGCUGAGGCGCGAAAGCGUGGGGAGCAAACAGGAUUAGAUACCCUGGUAGUCCACGC